rnacentral:tRNA from 3 species
GCAGGCAUCGUAUAAUGGCUAUUACCUCAGCCUUCCAAGCUGAUGAUGCGGGUUCGAUUCCCGCUGCCCGCUCCA